rnacentral:rRNA from 1 species
AACGAACGCUGGCGGCAUGCCUAACACAUGCAAGUCGAACGAAGCCUUCGGGCUUAGUGGCGCACGGGUGCGUAACACGUGGGAAUCUGCCCUUCGGUUCGGAAUAACAGUUAGAAAUGACUGCUAAUACCGGAUGAUGACGAAAGUCCAAAGAUUUAUCGCCGAAGGAUGAGCCCGCGUAGGAUUAGGUAGUUGGUAGGGUAAUGGCCUACCAAGCCGACGAUCCUUAGCUGGUCUGAGAGGAUGAUCAGCCACACUGGGACUGAGACACGGCCCAGACUCCUACGGGAGGCAGCAGUGGGGAAUAUUGGACAAUGGGCGAAAGCCUGAUCCAGCAAUGCCGCGUGAGUGAUGAAGGCCUUAGGGUUGUAAAGCUCUUUUACCAGGGAUGAUAAUGACAGUACCUGGAGAAUAAGCUCCGGCUAAACUCCGUGCCAGCAGCCGCGGU